UACGUAGGCAGCAAGCGUUGUUCGGAGUUACUGGGCGUAAAGGGUGUGUAGGCGGUUCUUUAAGUUUGGUGUGAAAUCUCCCGGCUCAACUGGGAGGGUGCGCCGAAUACUGAGGGACUAGAGUACGGGAGAGGAAAGUGGAAUUCCUGGUGUAGCGGUGAAAUGCGUAGAUAUCAGGAGGAACACCGGUGGUGUAGACGGCUUUCUGGGCCGUAACUGACGCUGAGACACGAAAGCGUGGGUAGCAAACAGG
rnacentral:rRNA from 1 species